AUUGAACGCUGGCGGCAGGCCUAACACAUGCAAGUCGAACGAGUGGCGGACGGGUGAGUAAUGUCUGGGAAACUGCCUGAUGGAGGGGGAUAACUACUGGAAACGGUAGCUAAUACCGCAUACCAUCGGAUGUGCCCAGAUGGGCUUAGCUAGUAGGUGGGGUAACGGCUCACCUAGGCGACGAUCCCUAGCUGGUCUGUGAGGAAGACCAGCAACACUGGCACUGAGACACGGUCCAGACUCCUGCGGGAGGCAGCAGUGGGGAAUAUUGAACAAUGGGCGAAAGCCUUAUGCAGCCAUGCCGCGUGUAUGAAGAAGGCCUUCGGGUUGUAAAGUACUUUCAGCGGGGAGGCGUUAUCCGAAGAAGAAGCACCGGCUAACUACGUGGCAGCAGCCGCGGUAAUAC
rnacentral:rRNA from 1 species